rnacentral:rRNA from 1 species
GACGAACGCUGGCGGCGUGCUUAACACAUGCAAGUCGAACGGAAAGGCCCUGCUUUUGUGGGGUGCUCGAGUGGCGAACGGGUGAGUAACACGUGAGUAACCUGCCCUUGACUUUGGGAUAACUUCAGGAAACUGGGGCUAAUACCGGAUAGGAGCUCCUGCUGCAUGGUGGGGGUUGGAAAGUUUCGGCGGUUGGGGAUGGACUCGCGGCUUAUCAGCUUGUUGGUGGGGUAGUGGCUUACCAAGGCUUUGACGGGUAGCCGGCCUGAGAGGGUGACCGGCCACAUUGGGACUGAGAUACGGCGCAGACUCCUACGGGAGGCAGCAGUGGGGAAUAUUGCACAAUGGGCGGAAGCCUGAGGCAGCAACGCCGCGUGCGGGAUGACGGCCUUCGGGGUGUAAACCGCUUUCGCCUGUGACGAAGCGUGAGUGACGGUAAUGGGUAAAGAAGCACCGGCUAACUACGUG